AAAGGGAGACCUAAUUCGGGUAUAAGACGAAAAAAUAGUAGUCGAAACCAAGAAUCAAUCCCAAAAGGUCGGAACGAGGUAUGUGGCUUUCAAACUAGGUUCUGGGUUCAUAAAAGACCUGAAUCAGGAACAAGGGCUAUUAGCUCAGGUGGUUAGAGCGCACCCCUGAUAAGGGUGAGGUCCCUGGUUCGAGUCCAGGAUGGCCCACCUGCACAGGUGGCAAAAACAAGAGAAGCGAGGAAUCAGCACCUUAUCCUAAUUUAUAUAUAGGAGAGAAUGCUGGCUCUGAGUAAAGAGUCCAGAGGAACCUUGAAGACUGCAUAGAGCUAGGUGAAGAAGCCAAAAAAGAAGACCGCAAG
rnacentral:tRNA from 1 species